GAUGAACGCUCGCUACAGGCUUAACACAUGCAAGUCGCGGGGCAGCAUGGGGGUUGCUUGCAAUCCCCGAUGGCGACCGGCGCACGGGUGAGUAACGCGUAUCCAACCUGCCCUUCACCACGGGAUAACCCGGCGAAAGUCGGACUAAUACCGUAUGUUGUCCAUUGACGGCAUCCGAUUUGGACGAAAGGUUUGGCGGUGAAGGAUGGGGAUGCGUCCGAUUAGCUGGACGGCGGGGUGACGGCCCACCGUGGCGACGAUCGGUAGGGGUUCUGAGAGGAAGGUCCCCCACACUGGAACUGAGACACGGUCCAGACUCCUACGGGAGGCAGCAGUGAGGAAUAUUGGUCAAUGGGCGUAAGCCUGAACCAGCCAAGUAGCGUGCAGGAUGACGGCCCUAUGGGUUGUAAACUGCUUUUAUGCGGGGAUAAAGUGGCCCACGUGUGGGUUUCUGCAGGUACCGCAUGAAUAAGGACCGGCUAAUUCCGU
rnacentral:rRNA from 1 species